UUUAUCUUUUACCUUAAUUGUUAGCUGGCUCUGGUGCUUGGUAGAUGGGUGUUGAUACCAAACUAUUUUUUCUUGUCUACCCAGGAGAAAGUCAUGGGUUCUGCUGCUGAGAAUUCUUGCUUGAUGUUUGGUCCACCUGUUAGCUGGCUCUGGUGCUUGGUAGUCUUCUCAAACCUCUGAAUCAAGGCCACCAUGAAAGGCCUUCUGAAGACCAUCAUUACGCUUCAGAUCCAGUUGUCUUUACUAUGAGAUAGAACUGAACUGGAGUCUGUGAACUAAUGCUGUGUUCGAGACAACUUGGAUGUUGGAUAUUAUUGACCUCGAACCCUUAAGAAGUUUGGAACAGCAAACAAAGUUGAGUAUCCAACCUCUCAACUUGGGACAGAUCGAUCAACACCGACCUCAACGAGAUGCAUCAUUUGACAUUGCAGACAAGAUCCUUUCUCUUUUUAAUGCAGAACUUAAGGAUGAACCACCCUGAUCUACUAAGAUGCACAGAUUCAACUCUGGCCCAGCAUCAUCCCCACACCUCAUCUGCCAUCAGUUUAAUUUAAUGUCUGUCAAUUGCAAAUGCUAUUUAUUUGUUAUAUUACAACUUAAUGUUAACUUUAAUUGAGACUAGUAUUGUGUAAAGCUGGGGUUUCCAAACUUUUAAUUUCAAAACCUAUUAGACAAGUGUAAUCUAUUCUAGACCCACUAAAAUAUUAUUAAAUAUAAAUUUUUUUAAUGGGGUAAAACACAUUUGUUCUCUUUCAGUGGUGUCAUUUUAUUUUCAUAAUAUUCCAUAAUGUAAAGCAGUGGUUCUUAACGUUAUUCCUCGAGGCCCAUUGCUCUGCACAUUUUGUAUGUCUCUUUUAUCUGACAGACUCAGUUCAGUUCAUUGAAAUCUCUUCUAAUGAGCUGAUGAUUUGAAUCAGGUGUGUUAAAUAAGGGAGACAUACAAAAUGUGCAGGGCAGUGGGCCUCGAGGAAUAACGUUAAGAACCACUGAUGUAAAGUAAAUAUAAGUUUAUUUGCAAUACCAAAUAUUUUAUGGUAUAUUCUUUCAAAACCAUUGUCAUUGUUAAUUAUUAAUUUGGCCAAACUGUUGUUGCAUCAUUAAGGUGUGCAACACACCUUAACCUACUGUGUGACCGACAAGUGGUUCCUCCUGACCCACAGUUUAA